ensembl:lncRNA
GGAGAUCACUACUCUUGGAGCCCUUCUACAAGCACAGGAUAUGGACUAUGGAGUCUGGAAAGAAGAAAAUGAACCAUGCUGCUUGAGUAGGUUGACCUGACUGAAAGCACAUUCAGAGAGAGAACACUCUGAGGAAGCCAGUGCUAUUUUUCCUAAAUGAUAUUGGUUAAGAGCAGCUGGAUAACAGCAGAUCAGCAGUUUCUCUCUGUCAUUUUUUCUGAUCAAGUCUGAUGAAGUAGGAAAAUGUUCAAAAUGAGGAUGAGGAAAAUAUAGAGACAAAAUGUAUACUGACCUUUAGUGGAUGCAGAGCUGAAGCAACUGGAAGGAAACCAGAGGAAAAAGUAUGGUGUGAUGCAGGCAACAGACAGGAGAACUGGAUCCUGGGAGAAAGCUUCUUAGCUAAGGCUGUCUGCAAUAAGUUCAGAGUUCCUAAAGCCAAUGCCCAAGGAAGAAGAAACACAGUGUCAUAUCACCUGAUGAAAUUAAGCUUUUUAUUCCCUGCCUAAAUCUUCUGUCUGGUAGCAAAAAAGGUACUGAAUUCACUACCAUUUGUUAGCUGGCACUGAGUGGGUUUGGACGUGUGGCCCUACAUCUUCAUCUGCACACUUGAUAGCAUGUUUCAGAAGCAACUGGCAUUGAAAUGUAAGAGAGAGGCUGCAGAACAAACAGCAAGAUUUGUUAUCUACAUCUGUUUGGAAAUGCCUGUUGCAUUUGCCUGCUGAAAGUGCUGAGCAGCAAUGGGGAAAGAUGCCCAAUUACCAUCACCAAGUGAGGAUUUUGUGGCAGCUGCUGAAAGAUCACUUUAAUCCAGAUGCAGAGAAAGUGACUUAUUCCUUUUAUUAGAGAAAUAAACCCUCCAUAUGUUUCACUUGUGACCUACAGCAAUCUGACAGGGCUGGUAAAAUUCAGACUCUUCUCUGUCUUGCAGAGUGGGGAGUUGGGCACACGCUGACCUCUCAGCAGUGAUUCUAUGGACUGAGUUACUGAGAUAGGGAACAGCGAAUGUGUCCGAUUCUCUUCUAGUUCUGCCACUUUGCUGUGCAGAUCAGUUGGGCUCUAACUUUGUGUACACUGUUUCUGAAAAUCCCUUUCAAGUUACUUAUGCCACUCUUUCAACCUUUCUUCAACAAAGAGCAAGUUUAAAACGAGGAGGAGCAGCACAACAUUCAGUCUAAUAUGCUGUGAAGUACACAACGAUGCUCAGGAAGAAGGAUCUCUAGGUGGAAAAUAAUGUCCUGCAAGAAACCAGAUGCUGGUGAAGCUCACUGCACUAUCAGCACAGCCAUGAACUGUGAUGGCAGACUGCUCACAUGUAACCUGUGGCCUUCUUUGAUCAUUUGGAGCAUACUGACUCGACGGUAACGUAGAGAUUAACAUAUCCUCUCAUGGAGAGCCUUACAUAUACAGUGUAAGAGUUCAAAUGAAAGCAAUAAAACCAGCAUGGCACUCUCUCAUCGUGAUGAGUGGGAAGAGUGAAAAAUGAGAAGGAAAAACACAAAUUAGUUUUGUCCUAGCUUAUUCUCCAGCCUUAAAAACAUGAGAAACAAAAGCAGAGGUUCAGACUAUUUAAGAGUGAUGUGUAAUUAUCUGCAGUGCUAACAGUGACAAGGUUUGCAUUUGCAAUGGAAGUGUAAGGAUUCUGCAGAAAUUAUUUCUCAGGCUAGACAAAAAGAUGCCUUCUGAUUGUUCUCAUAGCAAAUGUCACUCUUGUAUAGGAUAACACGAAAAAUGCAGACAUAAGGGGG